rnacentral:rRNA from 1 species
GCAUAUCAAUAAGCGGAGGAAAAGAAACUAACUAGGAUUCCCUUAGUAACGGCGAGUGAACCGGGAUGAGCUCAAAUUUGAAAUCUGGCGUCUUUCAGGCGUCCGAGUUGUAAUCUAUAGAGGCGUUUUCCGCGCCGGACCGCGUCCAAGUCUCUUGGAAUAGAGUAUCAAAGAGGGUGACAAUCCCGUACUUGACGCGACAACCGGUGCUCUGUGAUACGUUCUCAAUGAGUCGAGUUGUUUGGGAAUGCAGCUCUAAAUGGGUGGUAAAUUCCAUCUAAGGCUAAAUAUUGGCGAGAGACCGAUAGCGAACAAGUACCGUGAGGGAAAGAUGAAAAGCACUUUGGAAAGAGAGUUAAACAGCACGUGAAAUUGUUAAAAGGGAAACGAUUGAAGUCAGUCGUGUGAGGGGUAUUCAGCCGUCUCUGGCGGUGUAUUUGCCUCUCACGGGUCAACAUCAGUUUGAUCCGGUAGAAAAAGGCGGGAGGAAGGUGGCACCCUCGGGUGUGUUAUAGCCUCCUGUCAUAUGUGCCGGACCAGACUGAGGAACGCAGCUUGCAGCAAUGCCGGGAUUCGUCCACGUACAAGCUUAGGAUGUUGACAUAAUGGCUUUAAACGACCCGUCUUG